rnacentral:rRNA from 1 species
GUAACGGCGAGCGAAGUGGGAACAGCUCGAGCCUGAAAUCCCUGGCAGGUGUUGCCAGAGAAUUGUGGCCGGGAGAGGCGGCGUUGCCCCGACUGUCGCUGUCGAAGUUGACCUGGAAAGGCACGUCGGAGAGGGUGAGAGCCCCGUGCGCGACACCGACGGGAAGGGCCGCUUCCGUCUUCUGAGAGUCGGGUUGUUUGGGAAUGCAGCCCAAAGUGGGUGGUAGACUCCAUCUAAAGCUAAAUACCGGCACGAGACCGAUAGCGAACAAGUACCAUGAGGGAAAGGUGAAAAGUACUUUGAAAAGAGAGUCAAAAAGACCGCGAAACCGUUAGGAGGGAAACGAAUGCAGCUGAAGUGGCUCCGUAUCAGGUUCAGGGGACGUCGGAGGACGAUGCGGGUCUCGGCAACGCCGGGGCCCGGAGAGGCCGCCGACAACUCUGCACUCCUGUGGGGAGCCGGCCAACAGCAGUUGCUUCCGGCCCAGAAGGUCGGUCGGGAGGUGCCCCUGCACUCGUGUAGGGAGCGUAUAGCCGUUCGUCCGGCGGUCUGGGAGCGACUGAGGAGAGUCGUGAAUUUUCACGCGUGCAGCGCAGGCCCUUCGGGGCCGGGCCGCCUCUGUCCGUUUGGGUCCCGCGGUGGGGACUGCGUGCAGUGUCCGCUGACGGUCCGCCUGCUCGGUCGGGGGGUCGGCCACGCCUUGCGCUCGGGCUGUUGGUGCUCAAAUGGCUGCAUCCGACCCGUCUUGAAACACGGACCAAGGAGUGCAACAUGCGUGCGAGUCUUGGGGUGGAAAACCCGUCGGCGCAAUGAAGGUGAAGGCAGGCGUUGGUCUGCUGAGGCGAGAGCUUCCUCCGGGGGCGCAUCGUCGACCGAUCCCAGGCUACGCUGUGGCGGGAUUUGAGUAAGAGCGUGCCUGUUGCGACCCGAAAGAUGGUGAACUAUGCCUGAAUAGGGUGAAGCCAGAGGAAACUCUGGUGGAAGCUCGUAGCGAUUCUGACGUGCAAAUCGAUCGUCAAAUUUGGGUAUAGGGGCGAAAGACU